CCGGAUCACUGCUGCCCCCCGUUGACUUGGAGUGUGAAAUACAACGCGCCUCUUUUCACAGAGCAUUUGAACAUUUGAUUUGACCAACGUUGUCAAGCAAAUUGUCAAUGUCGUCCAAUGCAAGUGCCAUUGAAAAAUGCACAUACCCUGGGUGCCAAUGAUCUCCAUGUGGAGAUGAGCCAGGCCGCUGGCGACGGACAAAGCGAUGACGACCAUGCUCUCCACCGACACCGUGUACCUGUUCAGCCGCAAUGAAGCCCAGGAUGUUGUCGUGCCUUAGCAUGGUGGUCUGAUAAAUCUCCGCUUCACGGAACCACGACCUCUCGUCCCUGGAGGAGAAGAUCUUCA